rnacentral:piRNA from 1 species
AAAACUCCUCUAGAUAGUCAAGUUCUGAUC